ACGGGUGAGUAACGCGUGGGUAACCUACCCAUAAACCCGGGACAACCCUUGGAAACGAGGGCUAAUACCGGAUAAUCUUAGAGUGCGGCAUCGUACUUUAAGGAAAGGUGGCCUCUGUAUAUGCUACCGAUUAUGGAUGGACCCGCGUCUGAUUAGCUAGUUGGUGGGGUAAAGGCCUACCAAGGCGACGAUCAGUAGCCGGCCUGAGAGGGUGAACGGCCACACUGGGACUGAGACACGGCCCAGACUCCUACGGGAGGCAGCAGUGGGGAAUCUUCCGCAAUGGACGAAAGUCUGACGGAGCAACGCCGCGUGUAUGAUGAAGGUCUUCGGAUUGUAAAGUACUGUCUUUGGGGAAGAAUGAUUGGUUUGAAAAUAUUGAGCCAAUAUGACGGUACCCAAGGAGGAAGCCCCGGCUAACUACGUGCCAGCAGCCGCGGUAAUACGUAGGGGGCAAGCGUUGUCCGGAAUUAUUGGGCGUAAAGGGCGCGUAGGCGGAUAGUUAAGUCCGGUGUGAAAGAUCAGGGCUCAACCCUGAGAGUGCAUCGGAAACUGGUUAUCUUGAGGACAGGAGAGGAA
rnacentral:rRNA from 1 species